rnacentral:rRNA from 1 species
UACAGGGGGUGCAAACGUUGCUCGGAAUCAUUGGGCGUAAAGCGCACGUAGGCGGUUCGUUAUGUCGGAUGUGAAAGCCCUUGGCUUAACCGAGGAAGUGCAUCCGAAACUGGCGAGCUAGAGUACGAAAGAGGAUCGCGGAAUUCCCGGUGUAGAGGUGAAAUUCGUAGAUAUCGAGAGGAACACCGGUGGCGAAGGCGGCGAUCUGGGUCGAUACUGACGCUGAGGUGCGAAAGCGUGGGGAGCGAACAGG